rnacentral:rRNA from 1 species
AUUGAACGCUGGCGGCAUGCUUUACACAUGCAAGUCGAACGGCAGCACGGGGGCAACCCUGGUGGCGAGUGGCGAACGGGUGAGUAAUGCAUCGGAACGUAUCUUUAAGUGGGGGAUAACGCAUCGAAAGAUGCGCUAAUACCGCAUAAUCUCUGAGGAGAAAAGCAGGGGAUCGCAAGACCUUGCGCUUUUGGAGCGGCCGAUGUCUGAUUAGCUAGNGGUGGGGUAAAGGCUUACCAAGGCUUCGAUCAGUAGCUGGUCUGAGAGGACGACCAGCCACACUGGGACUGAGACACGGCCCGA